rfam:Gossypium hirsutum cultivar TM-1 chromosome 14, whole genome shotgun sequence
CACGUCAACGCGAGUUGCUGACGUGGCAGCAAAUCGCGCCCUUAAGGACGCAAUUUGCGUCCACGUCAACAACUCGCGCUGACGUGG